CGUAGGCGGUUUUAUAAGUCAGAUGUGAAAGGUACCGGCUCAACCGGUGACGUGCAUUUGAAACUGUAAGACUUGAGUACUGAAGAGGCAAGCGGAAUUCCUAGUGUAGCGGUGAAAUGCGUAGAUAUUAGGAAGAACACCGGUGGCGAAGGCGGCUUGCUGGGCAGAUACUGACGCUGGGGUGCGAAAGCGUGGGGAGCGAACA
rnacentral:rRNA from 1 species